rnacentral:rRNA from 1 species
UAGGGAAUCUUCCGCAAUGGACGCAAGUCUGACGGAGCAACGCCGCGUGAGUGAAGAAGGAUUUCGGUUCGUAAAACUCUGUUGUUAGAGAAGAACAGCGCAUAGAGUAACUGUUAUGCGUGUGACGGUAUCUAACCAGAAAGCCACGGCUAACUACGUGCCAGCAGCCGCGGUAAUACGUAGGUGGCAAGCGUUGUCCGGAUUUAUUGGGCGUAAAGCGAGCGCAGGCGGUCAAUUAGGUCUGAUGUGAAAGCCCCCGGCUCAACCGGGGAGGGUCAUUGGAAACUGGUUGACUUGAGUGCAGAAGAGGAGGGUGGAAUUCCAUGUGUAGCGGUGAAAUGCGUAGAUAUAUGGAGGAACACCAGUGGCGAAGGCGACUCUCUGGUCUGUAACUGACGCUGAGGCUCGAAAGCGUGGGUAGCAAACAGG